CCGCGGGUGGGCGAGGGUCCCGGCAGCGCCGAGGCAGGCGGGGAGCGGCGCGCACCGACCCUUGCGAGGCGGAGGCGGCGCCCAGGGCAGCGCCCGCCCCGCCCGGGGCAGCGGCAGCCGCGGGGGCGCGGAAGGAGCCGGCCGCCCGCCCCGGCCGCGUGCCCGGAGGCGAUGGAGCAGGAGAAGUACCUGCCCGAGCUGAUGGCGGAGAAGGACAGCCUGGAUCCUUCCUUUGUUCACGCCAUGCGCCUCCUGGCAGACGAAAUUGAAAAAUUUCAGGGUUCUGAAGGCAAGAAGGAAGAUGAAGAAAAGAAAUACCUUGAUGUUAUCAGCAACAAAAACAUAAAGCUGUCGGAAAGAGUUCUGAUCCCUGUCAAACAAUAUCCAAAGUUCAAUUUUGUUGGGAAAUUGCUUGGACCAAGAGGAAACUCCUUGAAGCGGUUACAAGAAGAAACAGGUGCAAAAAUGUCCAUCCUGGGGAAAGGAUCCAUGAGGGAUAAAGCCAAGGAGGAAGAACUACGGAAAAGUGGAGAAGCCAAAUAUGCGCACUUGAGCGAUGAGCUUCACGUAUUAAUUGAAGUGUUUGCUCCACCUGGGGAGGCGUAUUCUCGUAUGAGUCAUGCCUUGGAAGAAAUUAAAAAAUUCCUCGUUCCUGAUUAUAAUGAUGAAAUUCGUCAGGAGCAGCUGAGAGAACUGUCAUAUUUGAAUGGUUCUGAGGAUUCAGCACGUGGACGGGGCAUUCGAGGAAGAGGGAUCCGUGUGCCACCUGUGGCUCCUUCAAGGGGACGUGGGGGUGCAAUUCCUCCGCCUCUGCCUGGACGAGGUGCCCAAGCACCCAGAGGAGCACCAGUGACCCGUGGAGCCCUUCCAGUCCCACCAGUGGCGAGGGGGGUGCCCACCCCUCGAGCAAGGGGCGCCCCGGCUGUCCCAGGCUACAGACCACCCCCACCACCUGCACACGAAGCCUAUGAAGAAUACGGAUAUGAUGAUGGAUAUGGGGGUGAAUAUGAUGAUCCAAGCUAUGAGGCAUAUGAUAACAGCUAUGCCACCCAAACACAAAGUGUGCCUGAAUAUUAUGACUACGGUCACGGAACAAGCGAAGAAGCUUAUGACAGCUACGCACAAGAAGAAUGGGCCACAACCCGUUCCAGCCUAAAGGCACCACCUCCAAGGUCAGCCAGAGGGGGUUACAGGGAACACCCCUAUGGUAGAUAUUGAAGGUCCUCCUCAUCUGUGACCUCAUCUCAAAGACAAUUAAUAGCCUGUGGUCUCCACAUAAACAGCAACAAGACAAGGACUCACAGGCACUGGACAGCUAAGCAGCAGAUCUGCUGAGAAGGGGUCAGAUUUUUGAAGCCCUUAGGCAAGUAUUGUACCUUUUGAACAGCGUUCAGAGGAUUGAGAGUGUUCAACAUCAUUUGCAAUAAAUCAGUGGGAUCUGAAGGACUGAGCCUCAGGUUGGGACUCUGCACAGCCCUGAGCUCUGGAGUGGCCUUUACUACCCUCUCUAGGAUAUGUCAGCACUCAGACUAAACAGUGAUCUUCCAGUCUAUCAGCAAGCAGAAGGAUAAGGGGAAGCUGUUUGCUCUUUGUCACACAGAAUGCUAUUCAUCAGAACCAAAAUACCCUUGCGUAUAGCCCAAUCUCCUACAUAUUGGACUAUGCCUCCAAAAAUGCUUAAAAGUGAGACUUGGAAGUACAGAGUACUUCAUUAUGUGCACGAACAGAAAUGCUUAAAUGGAUGAAGCAGCUAUUUGCGUCUGAUAGGAGCUAAGUGGGACAUUAAAUUAAUGCCAAACAAACGUGAUUGUGGAGAGACUGGUAUAUGCUGAACCCUCCAUAAAUAUUCUGCUGAGCACGAGGUUGAGGAAUGGCCAAAACAGCUGAAACAGAGCAAGAUGUUGCAGCAGUGAAUUAUUGCUUCUUGAAACUGGACAGAAUAUCAGCUCUCUACAAUAGUCUGAAAGGAGGUCAUUGUGAGAUAUUGUCACAGUAAGUUAUUGACCUGCAGCACGGUGAGAAAAAUUAGAAUGGACCUCUUAAAUCAUGGCCAUACAAGGAACAUAAGUGUUGAGAAUGCUCUGGCUCUGGGCGUCUGUGUGGCAAUACAUCCAUAUGCUGUCUACUUAACCAUGACAGGCAAGCAGGACACAAAUAUGGGUGAAAAAAUUCACCUUUGAUUUCUAAUCUGUGUUUUAUUCAGCAAUAAUACUGGCGAAGACCAUCCUAAACCUUGGGUUAGUCUCUGUUGUAGGAUGAUAUUUGUAUUUCUUGCACAGAAAAGAGAAUUUUUUCUAAUUUUUCAAAAUGCCAAAUACAGACAAUCACAGCCAUCAUUAAUAGGAUCUGUUCAGGAGUUUACAUCUUUUUUUUUGUUGUUUCUUUUUUCACUUGUGAAUACCGAAGCCACAUUUUUUGGUUAAAAACCUAUAAAAAAUAUUCUUAGAAUCACAAUGCACCUGGGAAUUUUUGAUAAUUUUUAUUGUAAGUAGCCCGGUUUACUUCAUCAUUAUUGUACAGUUCUACUACCUGUAUUCAUAAGGAACGCCUGCAUGACAUUUAUGAAUACUGCAAGGUUGAGAAAUACCCUGCAGGAAUUAAAAGCUUUGUCUUUUUGCAAAAUAGGUGAGUGAUUACGGACUGCUUCAUUGCCAAAAAACAAUAAAGGAAAUUUGCAUGAAAUCAAAGUAAAUACAAGGAUGUAAUGGUUUGACAAACAAGCAUAAAGUGGUACUUGGAGAACCAAGUCUGAAGAAACUUACCUGAUAUCUAACUUCAUACAAAAAUCUGUUAUGGUAAAGUCUUUUCCACUACCAGGAAAUCUAUCCAGCUACCAUGUUCAUGUUCAUGUCUUAAGACAAGAGGACUGAGCUACUUAACUCUUUGAGAAAAUUCUGUGACUUUUCUAAAAAAAAAAUUUAAAAAAAAGAAGGAAAAAAAGGAAAAAAAAUGAAAAAAAGAAAAGACUUAACCUUGAUAUCCAUUGAUAAAAUUGUAUUUUUCUAACUAAAAGACAGAAUUCCCUGAAAAAUUAAGCUAUCACUAGUUAAUGCUGUCAAAAUACCACAUCUUAAUUGUUCAUGCUUGUUUAAUUAGAUUUCACUCUUUCUUCCCUCUUGUUUUGAGUGGUAUUUGUCCAGUUGUUAUUCUCCAGGCUCUUUUUUCACAGUCUCUUAAAAACAAAACAUAAAACCAAUGAUGCUGAAGUUUAUGUAGGGUUGAUAUUAGGCAAAAAAUUAAAAGUGUCUCAUCCUGCUGUCGAUAGGAUGCGUAUGUGUAGUUCUCCAUGUAGCACUUUAAAGGGUAAGUGACAGCAAUCUCAUUCUGAGAAGAGGAAGAGCCAUAUGGCUCCAUUUUAUGGGCGGCUGGUUUUAUAAUUGCUCAGAACAAAACGCUCAUGAUCCUUAAACAGAUUCAGAUUACUUGUGUAGGUGGGCAAAGAAGCUGUGCACCGUGCCAUAGAUUUCUAGUCUUUUCCACGUACUGCCCUGUUAGGAAGGUAGGCUGAGGAUUGUGUUUGUCAAGAAAGAGGAGAAAAAGACCUGCAUGUUUCCUCCAGGGAAUCUAUUGAUUCAGCAGGAGUUUCUUAUGGUUUACGUGGUUACUUAAGGUUAGUGAGACUUUAAUCAAGGAAAAAAAAAUCUAAUGAACAGCAAUUUAAUAUACAGCAAUUGGAAAGGCCAAAAUGGUACAUUGCAUCCUUAUUAUCCAAAAGAACAGAUGAGUUUAAUAUCCCGGCAGCAUUUUCCUGUGAAGAAGAUAUUAAACAAGAACUCAAAAUGGCACAAGGUUCUCUCUUCAUUUUUAUGACAAAGUUGUAACAAGGUGAUCAAACUAUAUAGAACAGAUCUCUUUCUCUUUUAAGGUUCAGGCUGUACAUCCUGCCUAGAGUUCAAAAAUCUAAACUAACCGAAGAACCAACACACGUGCUAUUUGUGUCAGGUCUUUCGCAACAUAUUUUUCUGUUUACAUGACCUGUUUUUCAUCAAUAUUUUCUUGCCUUAAAGAAAGGAAGACAUUUUAACAGAAGAUACAAAACGCAAUGAGUUUUUGGCAAAUUCUAACUAUGUUAAACUUCAAAAAAUCAUGCACUGCAUCAGCACCACUUAAAAUGUAGAUUUUUCAGUUUCUCGUUGAAUAGACCUAAGAAGAAAAAAAUAAUGCAUUCCAACAAACAACACAUUGCAUGUGUCCUGCUUUGGAAAGCACCUGGAGGGAAUGCAUUUGGAAAAGAAUUUCUCCACAGUACAUUACAUGCAGCAUCUUGCUGAGAAAAGGCAUUCUGCUUUGGUCAAGAGAGAGAAGAUGAACAUAUCCAGAAUAUGGUUUCAAUGUCUGGAGUGAAAAAAAAAAAAAAAAAUAUAUAUAUAUAUGUGUGUGUGUUUGUGUAUAUGUACUUGGAUUUCUCUUUUCUUUGGGUGAUUUUAUUUUCCACUGGAGAUUGUAAGUGUAUUUUUCAUCCUUUGUUUCGCAACUAUAAAGUAGGAUAGAUUCUUCAAUGCAUUGGCAAUGCGCAACCUAUUUUGAAACUUCAAAGGUUUUGCGAAACUUCAGACAAAAAUCCCUAAUGGGUGUUCAUUUCAUAAAUGCCUACAGAAAUUAAUGUUUUCCAUGAGUCUAGAAAAAAAGCAGUAGAUAAAAUGUAAAGUUUCUAUCAAGUUCCUUGUGAUUUAGCUAAUAGUCCUUGAAACUGAAAUGAAUGCAAAUAGCUCUUUUCUACUUCCCGACCAGAUAUAUCAGCCAGGUGUACGCAGAAAAUAAUAAACAAAACUAUUUUUGCAGUUCCCAAUUAGUAUUCAAAAUAGAAAUCCAUGAAUUUUUGUAAUUUUAAUUGCAAAAAUACUGACCAUAUAUGCUUUUGCUAUGAAAGAAUAAAAUAUGUGCUGCUGUUUUCAUCUUUAAAAGGAUCGUAGUUAAGGAACAGCUGAGUAGGAAAUCCAGGGUAUUGAGGGGGAGACUCAAUGUGUAGUCAUACAAACAACUCCAGGAUUUCUCAGAAAGUGAGUCCGAUAUAUCAGAUGAAGAUAGUGGGGGUUGUUACACUUUUUUUCAGUUGUUCAUUAUUAUGCAAAAUGCUGUUACUGGGUCACAAGUCAUUUAACAUCGAGAACACCUUGAACACAUUAUGCAGCGCUAUGUAGUUAUUUCAUGAAAUGGAGUUUUUCCAGUAGGUGAUCGCAGUUGUUCUUUUCUGAAAAAUCAAGUACGUCUUAUGAACCAAUAGGGCAGUUUGAAGUUAACCUUUAAGAGGCAUUUAGUUUCAGCACUUAUCUUCAGUAAAUCAUGUGGUGGUAGGACAUUUCCACAAAGUCUUUCUUUAAUGAGGAAUGUGAAGAGUAAAAGUUGGAUGUAAAAUGUUGGACCUGUGAACCCAUGAGCCAUAUCUCAAAGCAUAGGAUCAUGUAAUCCUCUGUGAAAUAUUUUCAUUGAAUUAAUAGCAGAUGAAAAAAAAGGUGUAGAUGACAGGAAAGAUGUCAUAUUGAAACAAGAUCACAAGAGGGAGAGAUCAAAACACAGCAGACCAUGUGCAGCACACACACGAAUUUGCAUCAGGAGCUGCUGGUUCAUUGUAAGAAAGGCACUCCGACUCUGUGAAGCGUUGCUUAAAAUACCGUUUAUUGCAGUUAACACUAUAAAGAAAAAGAAGUUAGUACAGAUAAUUUUAUGUCCCUUCAGAUGCUGGAAACCCUGAGUUAUGCACCAUCAAAUGGACCUCCAAGUAGAGCGCAGCAUCCUGUGCAGAUCCUGUCUAUGUAAAAGUUACCCAAUAUUUCAGUCUUCUGAGCUCUUGUAAAGACUCCUGUUUAUCAUUUUCACUGUCAAACAACAUAUAAGCACAUGAGAAUUUGUUGUUGCUUUUAAAUAAAGGCAAGGACCCACUGGUGGUACAGUAGGAGGGACCACGUGGCAGCUGUCCACAGGCUGCUUCGUUACAAUUAGCCAGCUAAAUUUAUCCAGCGAUCAGAGGAUGUGCACACCACUGCCCAGACCUGAAGAUAAUGUUCCGUGCACAGCAUAGGUUUGGACCUGUUCAGGGCAAUUGCUCUGUGAGUUACUAACUCCUCUUCUGGUCAGAGGAGGUGAAACUAGAUGAUCUUUAAGGUCCCUUCCAACCCAAACUAUUCUGUGAUUCUAUGGUUCUAUGAUUCGAUGAUCUCUACACACAUGCAUGCCUAUUUUGCAUCCACAAUAUGAAAAGGUCCUUUUGUGCUUCCAAGUCAACUGAUGCAUUGUAUUCCAAUCUACACACACUGAAAAUCUGUACACCAUCUAUUGCAAACACUCCUUUGCACAGGUGUCUGUGUCCAUCAAGUUGGAGCUGUGCAAGAAGUCAGAUGGGUUUAGAAUUAUGCAAUUUGUACCUCCAAAUGUUGCUAAAAGGCUACGGAAGUACAUGUUUACAAGUGUACUUUUUGUGCCUGCAGCUCAAAAUCUGGUUAUACUUGCAUUUUAAUUUGUUUUGUUUUGUCACACGGUGUAACUUCAUAUCAUAUGAAUAAAUAAUCCAUGAGCUAGAAAACACACUAAAAUCAAAGGAAUAAAGUCAGUUGCAUUAUUAAAAAGAGAUUAAAAUAAUAUGACAUGAAAAGCAUUUUAGAGACAAUAUAACCUUCCUGAUUUACUGAUGUGCACAGGAGCUAAUACAUCAUUCAGCCCCGCUGCCACCUGACAGCUGCUCAGCAUCUGAUGGGAAAUGUGAUGGUGGUCACAGUCCAGUUCGUAGUGGACAGGUGUCAGCAUCACAAAAAUCAUAUUCAUAACUGGCACUAAUUGGCACCUUUGUUGACAGUCUCAGAAGAGAGGCCGGUGAUUGAAUCUGUGUGGAGGCUGCUUUUCAGGCUCUGGUGGUGUGGGACACUGGGCUCAGCUCUUCCUUCACAGAAACCAUCGUUUGUCUUGCACGUAUUUCAGAGGAACACAGUCGGGUCCUGACGCUCUGUAUUUGCCUGUAGAUUCUAUGAGCGUGCGCGUUGCUGUGAGGUACCUCUGGAAGUGAUGCCCCCAUACAGAGUGUCAGACACGUUUGGGGGGCGCUAAAGCCUGCCCACUGAUGCUUGCCUGCGGAGGAGCCUGUGCACUUGGGCUUGGGCUGGAAGAAGACCAAAGGAGAUGAAACCAAAGGCCAUUGCUGGUGUAAAGGAGAAGCCACACGACUCACAGGGAGCUCCAGUAUCACCUAAGCUUUUCUCAGUUUUAGUUUAUUUUAGACGCAAUUGUGAUUCUGUGGACUUUUAGUAGGCACUUCAUUCCUCCUUGCUAUGUGGUAUUCUUUUGUAUGAAGGUCACAAUAUUUGUCUCACCUCUGAUGGAAUUCAAUAGACACAUUAAAACUCAGGCUUCAGAUUUAUAGGAACUUUGGUUUCUUAAUAAUCCUGUUAAAUGAGUUGUAGGCAAUGACUAUUGAAUGUAUCCAUUUUGCAUUUACCCAUCUUUCCAGUCACUUUGUUGAAUAUUAAAUACAGUUUCUUCUUCCACUCAGCCUGCCUUGUCCAAAUUAGCAUUUUAAAUUAAUUUUCCUUUGCUGUUUGCAAGUUGUGACUGUAGAA